rnacentral:rRNA from 1 species
UACGAAGGGGGCUAGCGUUGCUCGGAAUCACUGGGCGUAAAGCGCACGUAGGCGGCUUUUUAAGUCAGGGGUGAAAUCCUGGAGCUCAACUCCAGAACUGCCUUUGAUACUGGGAAGCUUGAGUCCGGAAGAGGUGAGUGGAACUCCGAGUGUAGAGGUGAAAUUCGUAGAUAUUCGGAAGAACACCAGUGGCGAAGGCGGCUCACUGGUCCGGUACUGACGCUGAGGUGCGAAAGCGUGGGGAGCAAUCAGG